rnacentral:rRNA from 1 species
UGAUUCGAAAGAUGAGGGACCCUUCGGGGAGGCGUGCACAGGUGUUGCACGGCCGUCGUCAGCUCGUGCCGUGAGGUGUUGGGUUAAGUCUCGCAACGAGCGCAACCCCGUCGCCAGUUGUAUUUUUCUGGCGAGACUGCCGGGAAAUCCCCGGAGGAAGGAGGGGAGUGAUGUCAGGUCAGCGUGGCCCUUACGACCAGGGCUACACACACGCUACAAUGGGUGGUACAGAGGGUCGCGAAGCCGCGAGGUGGAGCUAAUCCCACAAAGCCAUCCUCAGUUCGGAUUGCAGGCUGAAACUCGCCUGCAUGAAGCCGGAGUUGCUAGUAACCGCAGGUCAGCACUACUGCGGUGAAUACGUUCCCGGGCCUU